UAAUAUAAGAGUUUGAUCCUGGCUCAGGAUGAACGCUGGCGGCGUGCUUAACACAUGCAAGUCGAGCGAAAAUAAUUAGGAGCUUGCUUUUAAUUAUUUUAGCGGCGGACGGGUGAGUAACGUGUGGGCAACCUGCCUUUUACUGUGGAAUAAUCACUGGAAACGGUGACUAAUACCGCAUACGGUUCUUAGGAGGCAUCUUCUAAGAAAGAAAGGAUUUAUUCGGUAAAAGAUGGGCCCGCAUCUGAUUAGCUAGUUGGUGAGAUAAUAGCCCACCAAGGCAACGAUCAGUAGCCGACCUGAGAGGGUGACCGGCCACAUUGGGACUGAGACACGGCCCAAACUCCUACGGGAGGCAGCAGUGGGGAAUAUUGCACAAUGGGCGAAAGCCUGAUGCAGCAACGCCGCGUGAAGGAAGACGGUUUUCGGAUUGUAAACUUCUAUCAAUAGGGAAGAAAGAAAUGACGGUACCUAAAUAAGAAGCCCCGGCUAACUACGUGCCAGCAGCCGCGGUAAUACGUAGGGGGCAAGCGUUAUCCGGAAUUACUGGGUGUAAAGGGAGAGUAGGCGGCAAGGUAAGCGAUAUGUGAAAGCCUUAAGCUUAACUUAAGGAUAGCAUAACGAACUAUCUAGCUAGAGUACAGGAGAGGAAAGCGGAAUUCCUAGUGUAGCGGUGAAAUGCGUAGAUAUUAGGAAGAACACCAGUGGCGAAGGCGGCUUUCUGGACUGAAACUGACGCUGAGGCUCGAAAGCGUGGGGAGCGAACAGGAUUAGAUACCCUGGUAGUCCACGCUGUAAACGAUGAGUGCUAGGUGUCGGGGAGGAAUUCCCGGUGCCGGAGCAAACGCAAUAAGCACUCCACCUGGGGAGUACGACCGCAAGGUUGAAACUCAAAGGAAUUGACGGGGGCCCGCACAAGCGGUGGAGCAUGUGGUUUAAUUCGAAGCAACGCGAAGAACCUUACCAAGGCUUGACAUCCUCUUGACGAAUGUAGAGAUACAUUUUUUCUUCGGAACAAGGGAGACAGGUGGUGCAUGGUUGUCGUCAGCUCGUGUCGUGAGAUGUUGGGUUAAGUCCCGCAACGAGCGCAACCCUUAUCUUCAGUAGCCAGCAGGUAGAGCUGGGCACUCUGGAGAGACUGCCGUGGAUAACACGGAGGAAGGUGGGGAUGACGUCAAAUCAUCAUGCCCCUUAUGUCUUGGGCAACACACGUGCUACAAUGGCUAGAAACAAAGUGAAGCGAGACGGUGACGUUAAGCAAAGCACAAAAACCUAGUCCCAGUUCGGAUUGUAGUCUGCAACUCGAGUACAUGAAGCUGGAAUCGCUAGUAAUCGCAAAUCAGAAUGUUGCGGUGAAUACGUUCCCGGGCCUUGUACACACCGCCCGUCACACCAUGGGAGUUGGAAGCGCCCGAAGUCGAUGACCUAACCGCGAGGGAGGAGUCGCCGAAGGUGAAGCCAGUGACUGGGGUGAAGUCGUAACAAGGUAGCCGUAUCGGAAGGUGCGGCUGGAUCACCUCCUUU
rfam:Clostridium sp. ASF356 genomic scaffold acMac-supercont1.4, whole genome shotgun sequence.